rnacentral:rRNA from 1 species
CCUACGGGAGGCUGCAGUGAGGAAUAUUGGUCAAUGGACGAGAGUCUGAACCAGCCAAGUCGCGUGAAGGAUGACUGCCCUAUGGGUUGUAAACUUCUUUUAUAUGGGAAUAAAAUGUCCCACGUGUGGGGUUUUGUGUGUACCCUAUGAAAAAGCAUCGGCUAACUCCGUGCCAGCAGCCGCGGUAAUACGGAGGAUCCGAGCGUUAUCCGGAUUUAUUGGGUUUAAAGGGUGCGUAGGUGGAUUGUUAAGUCAGUUGUGAAAGUUUGCGGCUCAACCGUAAAAGUGCAGUUGAAACUGGCAGUCUUGAGUACAGUAGAGGUGGGCGGAAUGCGUGGUGUAGCGGUGAAAUGCUUAGAUAUCACGAAGAACUCCGAUUGCGAAGGCAGCGCACUGGACUGCAACUGACACUGAGGCUCGAAAGUGUGGGUAUCAAACAGGAUUAGAUACCCUGGUAGUC